AUUGAACGCUGGCGGCAUGCUUUACACAUGCAAGUCGAACGGUAACAGGCCUUCGGGCGCUGACGAGUGGCGAACGGGUGAGUAAUGCAUCGGAACGUGCCCAGUCGUGGGGGAUAACUAUCCGAAAGGAUAGCUAAUACCGCAUACGAUCUGCGGAUGAAAGCGGGGGACCUUCGGGCCUCGCGCGAUUGGAGCGGCCGAUGUCAGAUUAGGUAGUUGGUGGGGUAAAGGCUCACCAAGCCAACGAUCUGUAGCUGGUCUGAGAGGACGACCAGCCACACUGGGACUGGGACACGUCCCAGACUCCUACGGGAGGCAGCAGUGGGGAAUUUUGGACAAUGGGCGCAAGCCUGAUCCAGCAAUGCCGCGUGCAGGAAGAAGGCCUUCGGGUUGUAAACUGCUUUUGUACGGAACGAAACGGCUCUGGUUAAUACCCGGGGCUAAUGACGGUACCGUAAGAAUAAGCACCGGCUAACUACGUGCCAGCCGCCGCAGUAAAAC
rnacentral:rRNA from 1 species